AGUAGUCCCUACCAAGAAUCAAUCCCAAAAGGUCGGAGCGAGGCAAAAUUGGCUUUCAAACUAGGUUCUGGGUUCACACAAGACCUGAAUCAGGAACAAGGGCUAUUAGCUCAGGUGGUUAGAGCGCACCCCUGAUAAGGGUGAGGUCCCUGGUUCGAGUCCAGGAUGGCCCACCUGCACAGGUGGAAGAAAGAAAAGAAGCUCCGAAUCAGCACCUUAUCUUACUUAUAUAGUAAGAGAGAAUGCUGGCUCUGAGUACAGAGUCCAGAGGAACCUUGAAAACUGCAUAGAGCUAGGUGAAAAAGCCAAAAAAGAAGACCGC
rnacentral:tRNA from 2 species